rnacentral:rRNA from 1 species
GAUGAACGCUGGCGGCGUGCCUAAUACAUGCAAGUCGAGCGAACAGAUGAGGAGCUUGCUCCUCUGACGUUAGCGGCGGACGGGUGAGUAACACGUGGAUAACCUACCUAUAAGACUGGGAUAACUUCGGGAAACCGGAGCUAAUACCGGAUAAUAUAUUGAACCGCAUGGUUCAAUAGUGAAAGACGGUUUUGCUGUCACUUAUAGAUGGAUCCGCGCCGCAUUAGCUAGUUGGUAAGGUAACGGCUUACCAAGGCGACGAUGCGUAGCCGACCGGAGAGGGUGAUCGGCCACACUGGAACUGAGACACGGUCCAGACUCCUACGGGAGGCAGCAGUAGGGAAUCUUCCGCAAUGGGCGAAAGCCUGACGGAGCAACGCCGCGUGAGUGAUGAAGGUCUUCGGAUCGUAAAACUCUGUUAUUAGGGAAGAACAAAUGUGUAAGUAACUAUGCACGUCUUGACGGUACCUAAUCAGAAAGCCACGGCUAACUACGUG